CAAGACUACUGCAUCGGACUCUCGAUUAACGGACUCUCUUUGAUCGAUUUUCAUCUGAUUUUUAGCCAAUUUUACACGUCUUUGCCUUUGUACAGCAAUGUUGAGCCCCACUCAUAUUCCAGAUCCUGUCCAGUUUACAGCUCCAACACAGGCAAAUAUGAUGGAGGCAUGGCUUGGUGGCCUCCAUAUAAAGACUCAUUCAAAAUACUCCAAAGUAUUUUAAAGAGGACAUCACCUAACCCAUCUAAAGGAUGGAAACAGUACUCUUGUCGAAUACUACAUGAGACAAACUGCUUUGAAAGUCUCAGUAAGAGGUGGGGCCUGUCCUGCCACACCUCUGAUCUGAAUACAGACAAAGAGGAGCUGCCAGUAGGUCGCCAGCGGAGAAAACCAUCGCGACUUAGCUCACCAUCACCACCAUCAUCCCCUGCAUCGUGCAGUUCAUCAGACACCCAAAAUGCACCACAAACAUCACUGGCAAAAAAGAAGUAAACGCACAACAAACCUUCCAAAAAAAAAAACUUCUCCCCCUCCCCUCCUACCUAUGGCUGGAAACAACAUCA